rnacentral:rRNA from 1 species
UACGUAGGGUGCAAGCGUUAAUCGGAAUUACUGGGCGUAAAGCGUGCGCAGGCGGUGAUGUAAGACAGAUGUGAAAUCCCCGGGCUCAACCUGGGAACUGCAUUUGUGACUGCAUCGCUGGAGUGCUGCAGAGGGGGAUGGAAUUCCGCGUGUAGCAGUGAAAUGCGUAGAUAUGCGGAGGAACACCGAUGGCGAAGGCAAUCCCCUGGGCCUGCACUGACGCUCAUGCACGAAAGCGUGGGGAGCAAACAGG